rnacentral:lncRNA from 1 species
UCCAAUAAUAGGAAUUCUAUAUCUUUACUUCUGGACGACUGUAAAAACAAAACGUUACGUUUUAUGGCAUCUUAUAGUUUACAUAGUGUUUUCAAAUACAUUCACUCCACGUUAAAGACAUUUCUUUUUUUUUUUGUGAAUUAUAUCUCAAUUUUUUUUUUUUAAUUUUUUAUUGGAUUUUAGGUUUUGGGGUACAUGAGCAGAGCUGCUAUUUCACUUUUUUAAGGGAAGAAAAUAAAGUUUGAAAAAGUUUCCACUCGGAGUUCCACCCAGUAAUCAAUGGUGAGGUGUGAAACCUGGGCUUCCCGACGUGCUAUGCGGUGCUCUCCAUUUUAAUACGGCUGCCUGAGGAACCAGCUGGCUGGAAGAGUGGCUGUGGGCGGUUCACGGCCAGACUGCGAUGGUGGCGAGGCACGGUGACUGGAAACAUUUGAACAUGGACAUGAAGGAAGUGAGCAAAGGGGUGGAGGAAAGAAGUAGAGAAGGAGGAAGAGGAUUCCAGGCAGCGUUACACCCACUCCACAACAGAAGACUAGUUUCUGAAGGUGGGUGGGUGGGAGUCAGGGGAGGCAUAAUGGUAUUUAUCUUGCUGCCAUCACACUGGUUCAGAUAGAAUUAGGCCCCUUGAAUGCCUCAUCAAUGUGGAAAAAAUCUGAUGGUGAGAAAUAACCCUUUGGUUAGAAAUAACCUGAAUCUUAUGGUAAUUAUUAAUAUGAAAGCACGACUACAGUUUAAGCAGGGUGAGAUUUCACAGAAUCUAGGACUAUAGGUGCAUUUAAAAAGACAAGGAAAGAAAUUACGUGAGUACAAAAAACAGAAUUGCUAGUAGGGAAAGGGUAACAUGCUCGCUUAUUUGUUUGGCUUUGAUCUGGGUAUGAUAGAAGCCUGGGGAAGGAGCCCGUGGGCAGGUCACAGUUAUGCUUUUGAAGGUGACCAGUGGUACUGAUGUGCCCCAAGUGUGCCUGCUUCAUCGUCAUAUGCCUAAUUAGGUAAGCAAGGGGUUCACAGUGGAGAUUAUUUCAUUUAUUAGGUUCGAAUGAAACCUGUGGGAAUUGGUAAGAUGUGAUCUUAAAUUAACAUACUUCCUGCAGCACCUGCGAUGUGGUAUUAUCAGAAUUAAUUAAACAGUCUGAAAUCGCGGGCACGGUGUCAGGCUGGGAUAACCAGAUGCCUGAGAGCCUGCAUGUCUGGGCUGGGUCUCCAAACGCUUGAGCAGUGUCUUUCUCUCCCUCUCCCCACAUCCUGACGGGUCUCACUGUGGAGCCUUUGAAGCUUCUGUAGACGUGGUGGGGGAUUCUAUGGGGAUGCAUAUAAACAAGUAAACCACUGUUGCUCAGAUUUUAAUACUUUCCUAAGUAUUGCCUGGGAUGCCAAUGAUUUUCUGAAGGGG